rnacentral:lncRNA from 1 species
AGAGCAUCAAGCUCUGACUGCAUUGUUCCAGCCCAUGUCUAUCUGAGGGGGAUUGCCUUCACUCCCAGUGCCAAAGUUCUGCAACUGGUGUGAGUUAGUACUUAUGAAGUUAGGUGUCGCCCAUCUUCCCCACUUAUCCCCUGGGUCUUGCUUGCCAAGUCAACCAGCAGUUUUUGCUCAACUCCUGGUUUUCCCGUCUCUCUUUUUCCUCGUCCUCCUGGUUUUGACCCUUGCCGGUCCUGACUCUGAGCCCGUC